CUCGGCCCGGCCCGGCCCGGCCCCGGCCGUGCCACCGGGCUCCAAACCCCACCGGCAGCAUGGCUGCUUCGUCAGGCUCCUGACAUCAACCAGAUCUUUUCCAGCUUCCCAUUUCAUGCUAGUCCAGACUACUUUCCUUAAAAGGAAUAACAUUUUGCUUUGCUUUGCCCAGGGCUGUCUCAUCAAGGAAUGCCAAGAGCGCCCAAAUAUGUCCAACCGGUGCUUCCAUGAUCAUCUUUGUUGUGUGUUACUGCUCGUAAGCAAACCACUGGAUUCAGACAAUGCUCGAUGAGUCGUUCAAGCCCGUAACUUCUCUUAUGGAAAAGGUGUUUUGCAAUUGUAAAAUGGCACUGGGAAAACAGCCAGGUCUCAGGCAGGAUAUAUUAUCUCAUGUUUGCAUUCAUUUUUUCUCAAAACCUUCCAUGACAGAAGAUGCAGGAGAUGUUGUUUCAAUGAUCUAUCUCAGAAAUCAGAAAUACAGUCAUAUAAGUGACUCUAUGUCCUGAUGUUCAACCAUGAGCAAAAUUCCAUUCAAUAGCAGAUAUCCUCCUUUACUCCCAUCAGGAAAAUUAGAAAUGGAUGAGUUAUCAUCCAUGUUGAACAGACCAAUUUCCAACUGCAUUUAUAUUUUGCCUCUCCAGCAGCUUAACAGAAAGUGCAGCAAAGCGAAACCAAGUGAUAUCCUGAGGGCACAGGUGAUGCCGGAACUCUUAUGUGAAUCUUGCAGCUGGAGAAGAAGGCUGAGGUGAAAAGACUAUGAUACAGAAACCUCCAAUGUACUUCCAGCUUGGCCACCAACCUGAAUGAAACCUGAUGUGUCCUCCUAUUUCUUCUAGCCACAUCUUUUCUGUAGUACCAUUUUGAGGGCCUUAAGGGUAUAUUUUUUACACAUAUUUACAAAGAUGUUGAACCUCUGGAUAUCCAAGCAGGGAUUUCAGCAAAGUAACUCAUGUUCCAAUGGCCCUCUUCCAUAACCGCAAUCAACAGCACAGUUCUUAAUGACAUUUAAAUGGAGCUGAUUUUUUUAAAACUUUGAAAUAGUGUGAAGACACUCUGAAUUCUGGAUGAGGUUUUUGUUGCUACUUAGAUGAAAAACGUGACUUUCUGAGUUAUUCAAACAUGGGAAUUAAACCCACAAAGGCAAUAAAACCUCUUGAAUAAUCACUGUUCAGCAAAAGCUUGCUGAUUAAUAGCCAUUAAAGAAUACAGAACCACAAAGUCAUUGACUUCCAUUAAAGUGAUAGUGGAUACUGCUGGGUUCUGAGUUACAAGGUGCUACAGAAAAAGUGUGUUUGAAUUUUUCAAGAACCAUAAUCAUUAAAGAAAAGAACUUGAAA